UGGCAGGUCAGCAUACUGCCGUGAAUACGUUCCCGGGCCUUGUACACACCGCCCGUCACACCAUGAGAGUUGGGAAUACCCGAAGCCUGUGAGCUUAAACUUUUAGAGGCAGCAGUCGAAGGUANAAUCAAUGAUUGGGGUGAAGUCGUAACAAGGUACC
rnacentral:rRNA from 1 species